UAUGACGUGCUUGCACUGAAUGAGAUUUUAACACGAAGUGAGUGGCGGACGGGUGAGUAACACGUGGGUAACCUGCCCAGAAGCAGGGGAUAACACCUGGAAACAGAUGCUAAUACCGUAUAACAGAGAAAACCGCCUGGUUUUCUUUUAAAAGAUGGCUCUGCUAUCACUUCUGGAUGGACCCGCGGCGCAUUAGCUAGUUGGUGAGGUAACGGCUCACCAAGGCGAUGAUGCGUAGCCGACCUGAGAGGGUAAUCGGCCACAUUGGGACUGAGACACGGCCCAGACUCCUACGGGAGGCAGCAGUAGGGAAUCUUCCACAAUGGACGCAAGUCUGAUGGAGCAACGCCGCGUGAGUGAAGAAGGGUUUCGGCUCGUAAAGCUCUGUUGUUAAAGAAGAACGUGGGUGAGAGUAACUGUUCACCCAGUGACGGUAUUUAACCAGAAAGCCACGGCUAACUACGUGCCAGCAGCCGCGGUAAUACGUAGGUGGCAAGCGUUAUCCGGAUUUAUUGGGCGUAAAGCGAGCGCAGGCGGUCUU
rnacentral:rRNA from 1 species